CAGGUGCACUGGAGGAAAAUGGUAGUGUCAGAAUGGGAUAGAGCCCAAGUCACAGACCCAUCGUCUAAAGCCAUUUUGUGCCAUCCCUCCACCCACGACUCACCCACCUUCCAUGACCUUUCUGCCAAUAAUAUAUCAAUGGGUGGCCCGAAUAGUAGGUUUGGAGAGCUUCAGAGUUGGAGAACACAUCAACGGACUGGGAGGGUAGCACACCCCAACUCCAGGAAGACAGGGAAUCUCCGGACCUUGUCCCGGGUACCUCUACAUCUGGCUGUUCAUGUGCAUCCUUUACAGUGA